GAUGAACGCUGGCGGCGUGCCUAACACAUGCGAGUCGAGCGAUGAAGUUUCCUUCGGGAAACGGAUUAGCGGCGGACGGGUGAGUAACACGUGGGCAACCUACCUCAUAGAGGGGAAUAGCCUUCCGAAAGGGAGAUUAAUACCGCAUAACAUCAUUGAAUGGCAUCAUUCGAUGAUCAAAGGAGCCAUCCGCUAGGAGAUGGGCCGGCGUCGCAUUAGUUAGUUGGUGGGGUAAUGGCCUACCAAGACGACGAUGCGUAGCCGACCUUAGAGGGUGGUCGGCCACAUUGGGACUGAGACACGGCCCAGACUCCUACGGGAGGCAGCAGUGGGGAAUAUUGCACAAUGGAGGAAACUCUGAUGCAGCAACGCCGCGUGAGUGAUGACGGUCUUCGGAUUGUAAAGCUCUGUCUUUAGGGAUGAUAAUGACAGUACCUAAGGAGGAAGCCACGGCUAACUAUGUGCCAGCAGCCGCAGUAA
rnacentral:rRNA from 1 species